CAGCCGCCGCGGUAAUACAGAGGGUGCGAGCGUUAAUCGGAUUUACUGGGCGUAAAGCGUGCGUAGGCGGCUUCUUAAGUCGGAUGUGAAAUCCCUGAGCUUAACUUAGGAAUUGCAUUCGAUACUGGGAAGCUAAAGUAUGGGAGAGGAUGGUAGAAUUCCAGGUGUAGCGGUGAAAUGCGUAGAGAUCUGGAGGAAUACCGAUGGCGAAGGCAGCCAUCUGGCCUAAUACUGACGCUGAGGUACGAAAGCAUGGGGAGCAAACAGGAUUAGAUACCCCCGUAGUCCCUGUCUCUUAUAC
rnacentral:rRNA from 1 species